rnacentral:tRNA from 2 species
GGGAGUUUAGCUCAGUGGGAGAGCGCUGCUUUCGCAUACAUGUAUCAUGCGACUCAGGGAACUUAACCUUCCUUCUCAGGCAGAGGCCCAGGGUUCAAUCCCCUGAACUUCCA